AGAAAAAGUAUGAAUGGUUUCGAUAAAUGGCAGAGACGGUUAUUUGGAUCCUGAUUACGGUUUUCGUCACUGCAUACAUAAUCAUAGACAUCGAAGGUGAUAUUUUCUGGAAGCUUCAUACUAAACCUGUAGUAUUUGGAAAGGACGUCCAACUGUCGUGUCAUCUAACAUAUACCGCCCCUUGCUGUAACAGAUAUACACGAAAAUGGGCUAAAGGCUGGAAAUAUAACCUUGCCAUAAUAAAUGGAGUAUCUUUGAAUAUUUUAAAGUACACAGAAUCUGUAAACAAUUCUGCAAACACCUCGAUCUUCACAAUUAAAACUCUCGAAGAAUAUGAUGUUAACAUACCUUAUGAGUGCACUUAUGGAUUUAAUACGUUCAGUAAUGUUUUGGAAAUGACAGAGGAAGAUUUUGAAUAUCAUCCCAUAGAAGAGCUUCCAAUUAAUAUUACUAAUUACAAAGAUUAUAUUGAAGCAAAUAUAUCAAUGGAAAAAGUAUAUCCUUCUCCGAAAUGUAAUGCCACUGAUGGGAUGGUGGACUUGAAACAAAACUUGACCAUAACCAAUGUUCGCAAUGGUUUAUUUUACACAUCAAAUAUGUCUCUCGUCUACAAGAUCAUUGAUACAUGUUGCUGUAAUAGAACUAUUGAAGUCAUAUGUUUUAUUGGACACACGUCUUUUACAGUAGUUAACGACACUGUGCCAUGUUUAGAGGCAAAACCUAAAUAUCCCAAGAAAAAGAAAACUGAAUUUGUAUUUGUGGUAAUAGCUGCAUUUAUUGGGUGUGUUGGACUAGUUGACAUAGUUGCCCUCAUUUUGAUUUUACUGCGUUAGCCUUCUUUUACAAAUGAUCAAUCCAGAGACUCCUAGCACUCCGGCUUCCUCCACCAAUAAAAACUGACCUCCACGAAAUAGCACAAUAGGUUGAAAGUGGCGUUAAACACUAAUCAAUCAAUCAUGAGAUUCAUCGUCGGCAUCUUUUUACAAACAGCAGAAACGGAACUCUAAAAAAUUUUAAAGGAAAUUAUCACAACUUUCUCUGAGGUUCAUGCAAGCUGUAUUAAUAAAUAAAUGGAGACUUACUUAUUAUUAUAAUAGUUAAACGGAUGUACAUGUAAUCACAUGGUAUUUGAUGUAAUAUACAAUAUAUAUUCCUGUAACUGUCGUAUGUUAUAUGUGUUAUUAUAUGUAAACCAGACGUCAAAGACGUCAUAGUGGAAUGAAUGUUGUUAAAAACCAUUUUCUUCACUUUUUGGAGUGUUUUUUGUGUGUGAUAUUAGGUUGUAAUAACUUCAUUUCCUUUCAUUCAAACGUUUUUGCAUGGUAGACACGUGUGAGAUCAAGAACACAAAUUUGAGUUGAGAUUUCAUUUAUAAGUAGAGAUCUUAUUUACAUUUUAACGAUUUGAUCUUUAGAACAACUUUUAGAUCAAACGUUCCGAGACAAAAUUGUUUAUAAGUGAGCACAUGAUUAAUUCUUAAUUGAAAUCCAUCUUCAUAAUCAUAAAAUGCUAAAAAUAGUUAACAGUUUGGUCUGAUUUUGAUUAAUAAACCUGUUGUCAUAACUUGAUGCGCUCAU